rnacentral:rRNA from 1 species
GAUGAACGCUGGCGGCGUGCUUAACACAUGCAAGUCGAACGAGAAGUGAAGACGGAAACCUUCGGGCGGAAGGCUUUAUUUCGAGUGGCGGACGGGUGAGUAACGCGUGGGUAACCUGCCUCAUACAGGGGGAUAACAGUUGGAAACGACUGUUAAUACCGCAUAAGACCACAGCACCGCAUGGUGCGGGGGUAAAAACUCCGGUGGUAUGAGAUGGACCCGCGUUCGAUUAGCCAGAUGGCGGGGUAACGGCCCACCAAAGCGACGAUCGAUAGCCGAUCUGAGAGGAUGACCGGCCACAUUGGGACUGAGACACGGCCCAAACUCCUACGGGAGGCAGCAGUGGGGAAUAUUGCACAAUGGGGGAAACCCUGAUGCAGCGACGCCGCGUGAGUGAAGAAGUAUUUCGGUAUGUAAAGCUCUAUCAGCAGGGAAGAAAAUGACGGUACCUGAGUAAGAAGCCCCGGCUAACUACGUG